rnacentral:rRNA from 1 species
GAUGAACGCUGACAGAAUGCUUAACACAUGCAAGUCAACUUGAACUUCGGUUUGGGUGGCGGACGGGUGAGUAACGCGUAAAGAACUUGCCUCACAGCUAGGGACAACAUUUGGAAACGAAUGCUAAUACCUGAUAUUAUGAUUAUAUGGCAUCGUAUAAUUAUGAAAGCUAUAUGCGCUGUGAGAGAGCUUUGCGUCCCAUUAGCUAGUUGGAGAGGUAACAGCUCACCAAGGCGAUGAUGGGUAGCCGGCCUGAGAGGGUGAUCGGCCACAAGGGGACUGAGACACGGCCCUUACUCCGACGGGAGGCAGCAGGGGGGAAUAUGGGACAAUGGACCGAGAGUCUGAUCCAGCAAUUCUGUGUGCACGAUGAAGUUUUUCGGAAUGUAAAGUGCUUUCAGUUGGGAAGAAAAAAAUGACGGUACCAACAGAAGAAGUGACGGCUAAAUACGUG